rnacentral:rRNA from 1 species
AGCGAACGCUGGCGGCAGGCUUAACACAUGCAAGUCGAACGCUCGUAGCAAUACGAGAGUGGCAGACGGGUGAGUAACACGUGGGAACGUACCUUUCGGUUCGGAAUAACCCGGGGAAACUCGGGCUAAUACCGGAUACGUCCGCAAGGAGAAAGAUUUAUCGCCGAAAGAUCGGCCCGCGUCGGAUUAGCUAGUUGGUGAGGUAAUGGCUCACCAAGGCAAUGAUCCGUAGCUGGUCUGAGAGGACGAUCAGCCACACUGGGACUGAGACACGGCCCAGACUCCUACGGGAGGCUG